GCGCGAAAACUUUACAAUGCUGGCAACAGCGAUAAGGGAACCUCGAGUGCCAGGUUACAAGUCUGGCUGUCGAGAUGCCUAAAAAGCAUUUCAUAGCAAGGGCCGGGCAAGACCGGUGCCAGCCGCCGCGGUAACACCGGCGGCUCGAGUGGUAACCGUUAUUAUUGGGUCUAAAGGGUCUGUAGCCGGCCGGAUAAGUCUCUUGAGAAAUCUGGCAGCUUAACUGUCAGGCUUUCAGGAGAUACUGUCUGGCUCGAGGCCGGGAGAGGUGAGAGGUACUUCAGGGGUAGGGGUGAAAUCUUGCAAUCCUUGAAGGACCACCAGUGGCGAAGGCGUCUCACCAGAACGGACCUGACGGCAAGGGACGAAAGCUAGGGGCACGAACCG
rnacentral:rRNA from 1 species